CGUUUCCUGCCCAGUUGUAAUUCACUAGUUGUUAGUCCGUUAUAGCAAGAUGCUGGUUGUUGUGGUGGUGGCAGUGAUGGCUGGGUUGGUCUCCGCAAGACCCCAAUGGAACUUUGGUGGUUCAGGAGAGAAUUUCGGGGGCUACGACCCCUACUACGGCUAUGGUGGCUACGGGGGCGGCUUCGGCUACAACGAUUUUUACGGUGGCUUUGGUGGCUUCGAUCAAGGGUUUGGAGGUGGCUUUGGUCAAGGGUUUGGAGGUGGCUUCGGUGGCUUUGAUUUCUUCAAAUAGUUGUGCACCUCACUGCUCGAGUUGACAGUUUUAUCUUAUAAUGAAACGCAGGACAGGGUUUCUCCAGUAAGCCUACUGGCUUAUGCAAGCCAUCUACAGUAAGCCUAAUAGAUUACACAAGCCAUCUACAGUAAGCCUACUAGAUUAUACAAGCCAUCUCCAGUAAUCCUACUCGAUUACACAAGCCAUCUACAGUAAGCCUACUAGAUUACACAAGCCAUCUACAGUAAGCCUACUAGUUUAUAUAAGCCACCUGCAGUAGGCCUACCAUACAAGCCACCUGCAGUAGGCUUACCAUACAGGUCACCUGCAGUAGGCCUACCAUACAAGCCACCUGCAGUAGGCCUACCAUACAGGUCACCUGCAGUAGGCCUACCAUACAAGCCACCUGCAGUAGGCCUACCAUACAAGUCACCUGCAGUAGGCCUACCAUACAAGCCAGGUUCUGCCCAUCACCAACCAUAAUAAACUUUAAACAUUUUUCUUAACUAUAACAAUAAAUUAGCCAAUAAAUAUUAUAAAAAAAUAAUGCGAUUUUCCAAUAUUUCAAUAUUAUCUUUCCGUGUUAUAUUAAACCCGUUCCAUAAAUAAAAAUUAAUGAUAUAAA